UACGGGAGGCAGCAGUGGGGAAUAUUGCACAAUGGGCGCAAGCCUGAUGCAGCCAUGCCGCGUGUAUGAAGAAGGCCUUCGGGUUGUAAAGUACUUUCAGUCGUGAGGAAGGUGUUAAGGUUAAUAACCUUAGCAAUUGACGUUAGCGACAGAAGAAGCACCGGCUAACUCCGUGCCAGCAGCCGCGGUAAUACGGAGGGUGCGAGCGUUAAUCGGAAUUACUGGGCGUAAAGGGCACGCAGGCGGUUAAUUAAGUUGGAUGUGAAAUCCCCGGGCUUAAACCUGGGAAUGGCAUUCAAGACUGGUUAGCUAGAGUCUUGUAGAGGGGGUAGAAUUCCAUGUGUAGCGGUGAAAUGCGUAGAGAUGUGGAGGAAUACCGGUGGCGAAAGGCGGCCCCUGGACAAAAGACUGACGCUCAUGUGCGAAAAGCGUGGGGAGCAAAACAGGGAUUAGAUACC
rnacentral:rRNA from 1 species